GCGCCCAUAGCUCAGUUGGAUAGAGCGUUGCCCUGCGGAGGCAAAGGCCGGGCGUUCGAGUCGCGCUGGGCGCGCCA
rnacentral:tRNA from 1 species